GAAGAUUCUGGAAGAAGGUGUUUCCACUCCACACCAGCUGGGCCACUGAGACGAUUAUCCUCGUCCCAAGUCUAUCUACUUACAAGGAUUUUUAAAAAAAGAUAUGUCUCGCCCAUGCCAAGCUGGUCUUGAACUCAUGAAGUCAAGGAUGACCUCGCAUUUCCAAUUCUGCAUCCACCUCUGUCCCGGACACUGGGAUUUCAGGUGUUCGCCACAACACCCAGGUUUCUGCAGCGCUGCAGGUGGAACCUAGGGCUUCGUGAACUCUAGCAACUGAACUACAUCCCAGCCUUCCUGGAAAUGUGUGCUAGGCACCAGGGAAGUGACCACUGUCUAGUAAUGGAGUUUGCAUGAGAAUUUCCCAGUUUACUGUGGAACUCACAUUCUGUAGGGGGAGAGGGAGUAGGCAAAGAAAAAAACAGGGAAACUAAGUAACAAAAUUCCAGUUGUGUGAAGUGAUAGGGAAGAAGGUUCGGGAAGUCGUUUGUGAGGAGUGACUGUUGAGGUAAGAAUUGAAGCUUGAGGCAACAGAGGUGAGAGGGCCUGGGCACGCCCAGACAGGUGGACAGGAAGUGAGGUGAGAGGGACUGCCCAGACAGGUGGGCAGGAAGCCUCCAGCAGCAUGUGUUGCUGAAGGGAACUUUCCAACAGAUUAUAUUUCUAUAAUGAAAGGUUCCAUUAGUUACAGGCCUGGGAGGGAAGGUUUGGUUGGUUGCUGGGGUGAGAAAAAUAGCUCACUACAGGGGAAAAAAAAAAGCAAGCUGCACCUCACAUCACAGAUAAGUGGAAAGAUCCAAGACCUCACAGCAUGAAGGGCAACAGAAAUCAGGAGCUAAUCAGAAAAAAAGAGGGGGGACCCUAAGAGGAUCAUCACAUAAUCUGAACGCCACGAAUCACAAUCUCAGAUAAAAGUCGCAUAGAUUGUCCUACAUUGAAAUGAGGGAUUUUGGCCAAAAUAAGGCUGUUGAGAAAUAGAGCCAUUUUGUGUGUUGUGUGAGCUCAGAGAGACUACUUUACAUUGUGUCAAGCAAGAGAUUACGGUGUAGAAUAAAGGCAGAUGGCAGGAACCAGGACAAAUCCAGCUGGUUGUUUGUCUUUAUAAAUAAA
rnacentral:lncRNA from 1 species